UAGGGAAUAUUGGGCAAUGGCCGAGAGGCUGACCCAGCCAUGCCGCGUGCAGGAAGAAGGCCUUCUGGGUUGUAAACUGCUUUUAUCAGGGAAGAAAACGCUCCUGCGGGAGUAACUGACGGUACCUGAUGAAUAAGCACCGGCUAACUCCGUGCCAGCAGCCGCGGUAAUACGGAGGGUGCAAGCGUUGUCCGGAUUUAUUGGGUUUAAAGGGUGCGUAGGCGGCCCGUUAAGUCAGCGGUGAAAUCCCAGGGCUCAACCCUGGAACUGCCGUUGAUACUGGCGGGCUUGAGUUUGGUCGAGGCGGGCGGAACUGGUGGUGUAGCGGUGAAAUGCAUAGAUACCACCAAGAACCCCGAUUGCGUAGGCAGCUCGCUAGGCCAAAACUGACGCUGAGGCACGAAAGCGUGGGGAGCGAACA
rnacentral:rRNA from 1 species